GAUGAACGCUGGCGGCGUGCCUAAUACAUGCAAGUCGAGCGAACGGACGAGAAGCUUGCUUCUCUGAUGUUAGCGGCGGACGGGUGAGUAACACGUGGAUAACCUACCUAUAAGACUGGGAUAACUUCGGGAAACCGGAGCUAAUACCGGAUAAUAUUUUGAACCGCAUGGUUCAAAAGUAAAAGACGGUCUUGCUGUCACUUAUAGAUGGAUCCGCGCUGCAUUAGCUAGUUGGUAAGGUAACGGCUUACCAAGGCAACGAUGCAUAGCCGACCUGAGAGGGUGAUCGGCCACACUGGAACUGAGACACGGUCCAGACUCCUACGGGAGGCAGCAGUAGGGAAUCUUCCGCAAUGGGCGAAAGCCCGACGGAGCAACGCCGCGUGAGUGAUGAAGGUCUUCGGAUCGUAAAACUCUGUUAUUAGGGAAGAACAUAUGUGUAAGUAACUGUGCACAUCUUGACGGUACCUAAUCAGAAAGCCACGGCUAACUACGUGCCAGCAGCCGCGGUAAUACGUAGGUGGCAAGCGUUAUCCGGAAUUAUUGGGCGUAAAGCGCGCGUAGGCGGUUUUUUAAGUCUGAUGUGAAAGCCCACGGCUCAACCGUGGAGGGUCAUUGGAAACUGGAAAACUUGAGUGCAGAAGAGGAAAGUGGAAUUCCAUGUGUAGCGGUGAAAUGCGCAGAGAUAUGGAGGAACACCAGUGGCGAAGGCGACUUUCUGGUCUGUAACUGACGCUGAUGUGCGAAAGCGUGGGGAUCAAACAGGAUUAGAUACCCUGGUAGUCCACGCCGUAAACGAUGAGUGCUAAGUGUUAGGGGGUUUCCGCCCCUUAGUGCUGCAGCUAACGCAUUAAGCACUCCGCCUGGGGAGUACGACCGCAAGGUUGAAACUCAAAGGAAUUGACGGGGACCCGCACAAGCGGUGGAGCAUGUGGUUUAAUUCGAAGCAACGCGAAGAACCUUACCAAAUCUUGACAUUCUUUGACAACUCUAGAGAUAGAGCCUUCCCCUUCGGGGGACAAAGUGACAGGUGGUGCAUGGUUGUCGUCAGCUCGUGUCGUGAGAUGUUGGGUUAAGUCCCGCAACGAGCGCAACCCUUAAGCUUAGUUGCCAUCAUUAAGUUGGGCACUCUAAGUUGACUGCCGGUGACAAACCGGAGGAAGGUGGGGAUGACGUCAAAUCAUCAUGCCCCUUAUGAUUUGGGCUACACACGUGCUACAAUGGACAAUACAAAGGGCAGCGAAACCGCGAGGUCAAGCAAAUCCCAUAAAGUUGUUCUCAGUUCGGAUUGUAGUCUGCAACUCGACUACAUGAAGCUGGAAUCGCUAGUAAUCGUAGAUCAGCAUGCUACGGUGAAUACGUUCCCGGGUCU
rnacentral:rRNA from 1 species